rnacentral:rRNA from 1 species
CCUUAUACGACCGUACCGCAAACCGACACUGGUGCGCGAGAUGAGUAUUCUAAGGCGCUUGAGAGAACUCAGGAGAAGGAACUCGGCAAAUUGACACCGUAACUUCGGAAGAAGGUGUGCCCUAUUAGUGUGUAGUGAACAACGAAGCAUGAAUGGGUUGCAAAAAAUCGGUGGCUGCGACUGUUUAUUAAAAACACAGCACUCUGCAAACACGAAAGUGGACGUAUAGGGUGUGACGCCUGCCCGGUGCUGGAAGAUUAAAUGAUGGGGUGCAAGCUCUUGAUUGAAGUCCCAGUAAACGGCGGCCGUAACAAUAACGGUCCUAAGGUAGCGAAAUUCCUUGUCGGGUAAGUUCCGACCUGCACGAAUGGCGUAACGAUGGCCACACUGUCUCCUCCUGAGACUCAGCGAAGUUGAAAUGUUUGUGAUGAUGCAAUCUCCCCGCGGAAAGACGGAAAGACCCCAUGAACCUUUACUGUAGCUUUGUAUUGGACUUUGAACAGAUCUGUGUAGGAUAGGUGGGAGGCUUUGAAGCAGGGUCGCUAGAUCUUGUGGAGCCAACGUUGAAAUACCACCCUGGUGUGUUUGAGGUUCUAACCUAGGUCCAUUAUCUGGAUCGGGGACAGUGCAUGGUAGGCAGUUUGACUGGGGCGGUCUCCUCCCAAAGCGUAACGGAGGAGUUCGAAGGUACGCUAGUUACGGUCGGACAUCGUGACGAUAGUGCAAUGGCAUAAGCGUGCUUAACUGCGAGACUGACAAGUCGAGCAGAUGCGAAAGCAGGACAUAGUGAUCCGGUGGUUCUGUAUGGAAGGGCCAUCGCUCAACGGAUAAAAGGUACUCUGGGGAUAACAGGCUGAUACCGCCCAAGAGUUCAUAUCGACGGCGGUGUUUGGCACCUCGAUGUCGGCUCAUCUCAUCCUGGGGCUGUAGCCGGUCCCAAGGGUAUGGCUGUUCGCCAUUUAAAGAGGUACGUGAGCUGGGUUUAAAACGUCGUGAGACAGUUUGGUCCCUAUCUUCCGUGGGCGCUGCAGAUUUGAGGAAGCCUGCUCCUAGUACGAGAGGACCGGAGUGGACACACCUCUGGUGUAUCGGUUGUCACGCCAGUGGCAUUGCCGAGUAGCUAAGUGUGGAAGAGAUAACCGCUGAAAGCAUCUAAGCGGGAAACUCGUUUCAAGAUGAGAUCUGCCGGGGCCUUGAGCCCCCUAAAGAGUCGUUCAAGACCAGGACGUUGAUAGGUCAGGUGUGGAAGC